AUUGAACGCUGGCGGCAUGCCUUACACAUGCAAGUCGAACGGCAGCGGGGGAGAAGCUUGCUUUUCCUGCCGGCGAGUGGCGAACGGGUGAGUAAUACAUCGGAACGUGCCCUGUAGUGGGGGAUAACUAGUCGAAAGAUUAGCUAAUACCGCAUACGACCUGAGGGUGAAAGUGGGGGACCGCAAGGCCUCAUGCUAUAGGAGCGGCCGAUGUCUGAUUAGCUAGUUGGUGGGGUAAAAGCCUACCAAGGCGACGAUCAGGAGCUGGUCUGGGAGGACGAUCAGCCACACGGGGACUGAGACACGGCCCAGACUCCUACGGGAGGCAGCAGUGGGGAAUUUUGGACAAUGGGCGAAAGCCUGAUCCAGCAAUGCCGCGUGUGUGAAGAAGGCCUUCGGGUUGUAAAGCACUUUUGUCCGGAAAGAAAUGGCUCUGGUUAAUACCUGGGGUCGAUGACGGUACCGGAAGAAUAAGGACCGGCUAACUACGUGCCAGCCGCCGCCGUAA
rnacentral:rRNA from 1 species